rnacentral:rRNA from 1 species
CAGUCGCCGCGGGAAUACGUAGGUGGCAAGCGUUGUCCGGAAUUAUUGGGCGUAAAGGGCUCGCAGGCGGUUUCUUAAGUCUGAUGUGAGAGCCCCCGGCUCAACCGGGGAGGGUCAUUGGAAACUGGGAAACUUGAGUGCAGAAGAGGAGAGUGGAAUUCCACGUGUAGCGGUGAAAUGCGUAGAGAUGUGGAGGAACACCAGUGGCGAAGGCGACUCUCUGGUCUGUAACUGACGCUGAGGAGCGAAAGCGUGGGGAGCGAACAGGAUUAGAUACCCGCGUAGUCCCUGUCUCUUAUAC